rnacentral:lncRNA from 1 species
GCCAUGUCCAUGUCCAGGAUCUGAACUGGCAAAACUCCUGGCCGCCAAAGCCGAGCGCCCGAACUUAACCACUCAGUCACAGAGUCCAGCCCCUCAACAGAGUGUUUCAAGAUAUGCUUCAAGAUGACAAAUUAGAAAAAUGUCCCCAAAAAAGAAAGCUAACUGCACACACUCAUUCUCUCAUCUGCCAGGUAAUAAAACAUUUAGAUGACUAUUCUGGAUUGCCUGGAUGGCCUGAUGUAAUCAUAACACUCCUUAUAAGAUGGUCAAAGGAGGAGUCCAAUCAGAGGAGAAGGCAAUGGGAUGCUAGGAGCAGAAAAUGGAGCUUUGUGCUUUGAAGAUGGAGGCAGAGACCACAAGCAAAGGAACAUAGGAGGCCACUAGAAGCUGAAAAAGUCAAGGAAGCAGAUUCUCCUCUCAGAGCCUCCAGAAAAGAAUCAGCCCUGACAAGACCUUGGUGUUAGCUCAGUGAAACUGAUUUUGGACUUUGGAACUCCAGAGCUGGAUGGCUGGCAAGCUGAAGACCCAAGGAAGAGUCAACAUUGCAGUUCACAUCCAAAAGCUGGCUGCUGCAGAGUUCUCUCCAGUUUGAGGCAGGUCCCUUGGGCAAUCACUCCCUCUCUCUCCAUGUGGUUCAGCCAAGAGUGUCAAUCACAGCAUAUUCAUCAACACCCCACCCCCACCUCCGGCUUCCUGCAAAGGAUUAUGACUCAAGCUGGUCAACCAGAGUGUGCCCACAUUGGAUUAAGGGAUGUCAGGAAAGAUAUCUUCCCCCUAAACUAGGCAAACUCAGGAUGAGAAGUUGAGCUACUGGGGGCCAAAGAAAGCCGUUUGCCACAGGAGAAGAUAAAGCGUGAAAUAGGCAGAGCUAGAGAUGAUGAGGGAGACAAUGAACUGGUGGCAUCAUUUGGGCCUGUGUAAAUAACAGUCCUGAUACUUGUUCUAGCCCCGGACUUCCCAUAUGUGUGAACCAAUAAAUUACAUUUUUUGCUUA